rnacentral:tRNA from 1 species
GAGGUUGUGGCUCAGUGAUAGAGUGCUUGCCUGGCAUGUGUGAGGCAUUGGGUUUGAUCCCCAGAACCACA